rnacentral:tRNA from 4 species
GGCCCCGUAGCUCAGCUGGAUAGAGCAUCCCCCUCCUAAGGGGAAGGUCGCACGUUCGAAUCGUGCCGGGGUCGCCA